rnacentral:lncRNA from 1 species
UUGUGUUCCAGUUGCCCAUAGUGAUAAAUGCAUGAAAAUGUACGCUUUAUUGGCUUUUUAUUCUCUCCCUUCUCACUUCCCUACUUUCCUAUCAGUUUCCUGGUGUUGCCUUCCAAUGAGACUCUUUGCACCAAAUCUGUACCUCAGGAUGUGCUUUUGGGGGAGCCCAAACCAAGAUAGCCUCAUCCAAGUGUUUGGCUGGGGUCUCCCAGCCUCUUGUUUCUUCUGCCUCUCUGAAUUUCCACAUCUCCAACCACAAUUCCAAUCCUCAAAUUUAGAGAUUAUUUUUCUAAUAUUAUUUUUCUAUUUUAGGGAUUAUUCGGCUACUACUUCAGUGUGAAACAGACACCUUGUUGUCCUCAAAUAUUUCUAUUGCAUUCUACUUGGGGUAGCAAGGAAGUGGGUAUUGAGAAGUAAUGAUUAUCAGUGCCAGGAAGGGGAAAAACUGUCAAAACACCAUUUCUCUGCAGAGUUCAAGACUUCAAUCCCCUUGACAACCAAUUCCUAAACAACAUCAGGGAGUUCCAUUUGGGCUAGAGUUUGUGCAGGUUACUGCGGUUUGAUCACUCUAUAAGGUGGGAAACUCUCCAGCACCAGUCCUCCAGUAUGGUAAGGCAGGACAGCAGCCCAUGGAAGCCAGUACAUCAGCCCACUUCUGUUUUAAUAUUGCUGAGUUGCCUUUAUUUGAAAAAAAUAAAAAUGAAGAGAACAGAGGUGGCAGGAUAUUUUUGAAUCAGGUCUCAUCUGCAUAGGUCUAGCCAGGUAGGGCCAAUUAUUUGUCCUCCAGGAAUUCUGAAUGACUGACUUACGCCUGAGGUAAGUCGGUUUUCUGUCUCAUGUGCAUAUCUGUAUUAUAAUAAUUUUUGUGCACGUCUGCAUUGUAACCAAUUUUGAAGCAUAGUAUAUUUGUUUAUUUUCAUAUGUA